rnacentral:rRNA from 1 species
ACAGCAGUAGCCGCGGGAAUACGGAGGGGGCUAGCGUUGUUCGGAAUUACUGGGCGUAAAGCGCACGUAGGCGGCUUGGUAAGUUAGAGGUGAAAGCCUGGAGCUCAACUCCAGAAUUGCCUUUAAGACUGCCGAGCUAGCAGGUGAGAGAGGUAAGUGGAAUUCCGAGUGUAGAGGUGAAAUUCGUAGAUAUUCGGAAGAACACCAGUGGCGAAGGCGGCUUACUGGCUCAUACUGGACGCUGAGGUGCGAAAGCGUGGGGAGCAAACAGGAUUAGAUACCCCAGUAGUCCCUGUCUCUUAUAA